AAGUCGUAACAAGGUAACCGUAGGUGAACCUGCGGUUGGAUCAUUAACAAAUGAUAGGUUCUAGGUUCGAGGGUCUUUGUGAUUCUCGCCUAGGACUUUAAACCUCUGUGCACUGUACUGUCUUUGGGUGUUUCUCUAUUUGAGAUCGCCCGACUGUCUAUACAAACCUAUUAAAUUGACUGACCUUUCUAAGAGAAAUUAGAGAUAACUUUUAACAACGGAUCUCUUGGCUCUC
rnacentral:misc_RNA from 1 species